UCUGCCCCUCCCCACUUGCUCUAUUUCUGUCUCUCUCAAAAUAAAUAAAUAAAACAUAAAAAAAAAUAAAAAUAUCACUUAGUUACCUAGGUAACCAUUUUCCAUAAAGGAGAACAAAACCUAGUUCUCCACUUCUUGUCCCCCUUUGUCCCAACUUAGCGCAUUACUGCUCCCACGAGCAUCUGCGUCCAGUUCUCUCCAGGACUGAGAACGAGUUGCCUUUUCCUCUGCAGGGCCAGCUGGUCCUCAAGGCUGGCCUCCCCACACCUGAGGAGCACCCACCCUUCACUCCCCAGGCUGUCUCACAUCCUGAGGGAAUGUACUCGGUGACCCUGCAGGACCCUGUUCUUUCGUCCCUGCACAGCUAACUGUGCUAACGCGGGACUGAUCUGCACUCAUGCUCGUCUGGCCCUCUUCUUACUGGACACCUGUUUCCAUGCUCACGUUUCCAGGUGCACGAUGGACACCUCCACAGGAUUGUCCCACAGAUACCUCAGAUGCAAGAAGGCGAGGAAUGAACUCACCAUCUUCCUCUCUUAAGUGCACGCAUCUUCCAGAAUUUCCCAUGUCAGGCAGGGGUGCUACAGCCCGUCCAGAGGCCCGCGACAGGAAACCUGGUCUCUUUCUGGACUCUGCCUCACCUCCAGGUUCUAGGCCGGCUAGGCCAGAGUUCACCUGUCUCUUGAGUCAGCAGUGCCCCUCAUCGGCUCGGCCGCCCCCGUCCGGGCCCACAGCUCUCCUGCCUGGACCACGCAGUGGCUGAUCCAUUAGUCUGCUUGCUUGCGUCUCUUCUCCCUUGACACUUUCUCCAGAUCAACGGAAGUGGGACUCUGACCACACGCUCCUCCGUAGAAAUGCCUCUGUGACUCCUGAUUCGGUGGGAAUCACGCUCAAACUCCUGUCGGGGCAUGCAAAGUUGGUUCUGUCGCCUGGGCCCCAUUUCUUGCCACUUGAGAUCUAGAAGUACUGAGCAACUUCUGUUCCCUGGCAUUUGCAUGCUGGUCAUGCCUGCGGCCUUGAUAGGUAGGGGUCCCUUUGCCAGGGACACCUCCUGACUUCUCAUCUGACAAGCUCCUAUUCAUCCUGCAAAACCCUCAAUGUCACCACAGCUUUCUCCCAAGACAGAUUUUUCCUUGAGACACAAUCAGUGGGGCUCCGCUAAAGUGCAUGCAGACCUCUGUCACUUCCCCCAUUACUCUGUUGUCAUGACUGCUCUUUGGCUGCUCUCCGCUUCCUCAGGCAGGAACUGCUUUUGUACCACCCACUUUCUAGCACGGUGUAUAGCAAAUAGUAGCCUCUCGAUAAAUGUGUUGAGUUGAGACCUCAAAUUAUCCUAGGGAGGUUCAAAGAAGCAUAAGUCCUUGGUUGUGGUCCACAGGCCUCUUCACAGCUAAUAAUGGUCAAAGAGAAGAACCUGACAGGGACCCAAGAGACAUACAGAUCUUUUCUCCCCUUUCCCAGGGUGGUUGACUGCUCUUGAAUGUCCUUUUUCGAAAAGAAGAGCUGAGCUUGAUUUGGCUCAGUCAUUUACUGACCCUGAGCCUCCCUGGGCUUUGGGAAGGAAGCACGGAUCCGAUAGGAUGAUGCAGCCGAGAGCCCUAAGUGAACCUUGGGGGCACUGGGGGUCUCCACGCCGGUGAGCGCCUGUCCUCUCUGUGGGUGAUGAGUGAGAGUGACGUAGGCCUCCGCGCGUGCGCAGAGCUGUUUGUAGGGGCAAAAGGGCCGCCCUGGAGCCCCGGAUGCGGUUUCAGUCUGCAGGGGGUAAGGGCGGUGGCAGCUGUGUUUGUUUACCCGGGCGAUAGCCGAAGAAGGUGACAGCACUCCUUUGGGGAUGUCUAAGAUUGGGUAUGUGAUGGAGCCACAAAGUUGAGGCCACAAAGGGGACUCCAUUUUGGCUCAGGGCAUUUGUCAGCAACUCCUGGGUGGGAGUGGGUGGUACUGGGAGCUGGGGGAUGGGUGGGGCCACCGUAGAGCAGGCGGGUCUCCGUCCUGUGCUUCUCCAAGUGCCGGCGGCCGUCACACACCCCGUGAAGCCUGGGCACUGGUCACACUGUGAGCCGCGGCACAAGCCAGCAGGUGAUGUAUCAGCAACCUGAGAAUGUGUGUGGCCCCGAUCGGAACCAGGGCAGCAUUGGAAGGAAGUGCACAUCGGUGAGGGGCUCGGGCCCAGCCCAGCUGCUGGCCUCUGCGGUGGCUGUGGGGGCGCUGAACAACACCUGAAUGGACUUUAUCCUGAAGCCAGUGUGUGUAACUCCUGCGAUUAGCUAACCAGGUGACUCAUUGCUUACACUUCCUGAGUCCUCAACCUUUUUUUUUUUUCCAGGAAGAUCCCUAUAAACUGGUCAUAAAAUAUGCCGCGUGCGGUGCCAAAUGCCUCUGCAGAUACUUGACUCCAUUCUGCAUGUUCAGAUGGCUCACCAGGCCGCAGUCACCUUCCGCUGACUCUGCUCACCCCGUGGGGUUCACCCGUGGCCGCAGCCUUUCUCCCUGACCCAGCUCUAUCUACAGGCUAGACUUUGUUCUUUUGCCCAUCCACAAACACCUUUACUCACUCACGCCUGCCCCAGCCAUUACUGAGCACCUACCGAGCCAGACCCCCUGCCCACCCCCAGGUAUAUAAACCUAACUGAGGCACAGACCCCACCUUCCAGGGCUUGUGACAGCCAACCACAGGGAGGGAGCUAAGUGCUCUGAAAGAACAAAUCCCUGGGCCCUCAGCACGGUUAUCCAUACAGACUUGCUCAGCAACUUUCAUAGAGAAAAUGCAGUAGCAUCUGGCCUGUCAUCAGUGAGUAAUAAAAUACUUAUUAUACUUAUAAAUAUACUCAGCCCCACUGAGGAUUUUCCAGGACGAGUGCUAUCUAGAUGUGCCCUUAUUCUGAUCUAAAACACCUAACGACCGCACAGGCUGAUGCAAACAUAAUGAUAUUAGUUGUUUGGUUAAAACGUGGCCCUGUGCAAGACUUUUGUAGACCAGCCGGGCGGUGCAAACAGAACUUUCUUUUGAAGCCAUGUUUUGGGUAGCCCAGUGAAUUAGGAAUACUGGAAUCAAGAUCAAGUGAAGAAUGGGAACCUAUCCCAGGUGUGUCUCCCACAAUGCACCUCACCUGGGUAAACACACAUUUGCAUAUCAACGUAUGGAUUACAGACUUCCUUUUCUGAGACCUAGGAGGUGCCCCAUUCCGCACGCAGGGGGUCCAACAGCCAACCGGCUCUCUCAAACCCGGUGCAAUAUGAGAACCAAGGACUCAGGUCUUCAGAGCCCCAGGGGCCAGUCCUACGGAGCAGUCCUUAGCUCUGCUUUCCCUAAAAGGAGGGGACUCUGCUUUGUAACUCACCCUGCCUUCACAUGUGGGCCUGGCCUCCGGUCUCACAGGCUGCGCUGGCUUCUGCACGAGCCGGCCGGAUUUUGAAAUUACCUUUGGAGCCAGCCGUUAUAAAAAGCCCGGUACUCAGAGGGGAAGAAAGGUAGUUUUGAUGGUAGCUGAUGAGCUCACCGGGUACGGACGGAACUUUUCAAACAGGCCAAAUUAAAGAGCAGGCCUUGAGCCUGGGGCCUCACAGUGCUGCUGCGAGGAGCAGGUGGGAAGAGUAUCAGAUGUGUGAAGUACAGGUGACAGGUAACCCGAUCGCCGUGGCUGAGUCGCUGUGUGUGAGGCAUGGCGGGAGGCGGUGCCAGUGGGGGGCAAAGCCGCGCCCCUCUCAUCUGUCUGCAGAGGGGCCAACAGGUUAACCCAAGCCUGUUCCUGCAGGGCUGACAGUGGCUGGUUGCAGCCGAUGAAAGUGGAUGUAAAUCAGUGCGGUUUCCCCCGGCGGCAGUAAUGAACCCACGGAACCUCGCUGGAAGCAGACCGAGUAAGAAGGCACCAUCUGUGAACUGGGAGGCAGACUUUCACCAGACACUGAGUCUACUGGUGCCUUGAUCUUGGGUUUCCCAGCUUCCAGAACUGUGGGAAAUAAAUGUUUGUGGUUAAUAAGCCUCCUAGUCUAUGGUACUUUUGUUAUAACAGCCCGAAUGGACUAAGCCACAGCCCUGCCAGACUAAUACCAUAACUUUAGUUCCAAAGCAGAUUAAAAUGAAAUCCCUCAGAGAUCGUUAAAUGUGUGUGUGUGUGUGUGUGUGUGUGUGUGCAGUAUAAACAUGUGGCAGCAACACCUCUAUGUCAUAUGCACAGACAUCCUUUGUCACCCACUAAGCACUCUGGGGAAGGACUCAGAUAAAAUGAAGAGCUUUGAGUUCCAAGUUCUGUCUCUGGCCUUGGAAUGCUCAAAGACCUUCCCAGCUGUUCUGUGUUCAAGGGUGGCUUUCAAGAGCUGGGAGGGUGGUUGGAGCUACUCCUGGGUUUCCCUGAGCCCCUCAAAGAACACUCUGAGUGCAUGAGAAACCGUCUCCACACUACCUGCAGCGGAUGCCAUGGUGCUGAGGAACAGUGGCAAAGCACAAAUUAAAAAGAAGGAUUCUGAGCUCAGAAGUAAACCCUCACGUAUGUGGUCAACUAAUAUUUGAUGAGGGAGCCAAGAACACCCAAUGGGGAAAGGAUCGUCUUCAACAGAUGGUGUUGGGAAUAGUGGAUAAACACAUGCAGAAAGAUGAAAUUGGACUUCCAUCUUCCACUAUGCACAGAAAUUAACUUGAAAUGGAUCAGAAGAUCCAAAACUGUAAAAUUCCUGGAAGAAAACAUAGGGGAGAAACUCCUUGACAUUGAUCUUGCCAAUACUUUUUUGGAUAUGCACAAAUGCAAAACAAACAAACAAACAAACAAACAAAAAUCAACAAGUAAGACUGCCUCAAACUUAAAAGCU